AUUGAACGCUGGCGGCAGGCCUAACACAUGCAAGUCGAGCGAGCGGCGGACGGGGGAGUAAUGUAUGGGGAACUGCCCGAUAGAGGGGGAUAACUACUGGAAACGGAAGCUAAUAUCGCAUACUACCGGAUGAACCCACAUGGGAUUAGCGCGUUGGUGGGGUAAAGGCUCACAAAGGCAACGCUCCGUAGCUGGUUUGAGAGGAGGACCAGCCACACUGGGACUGAGACACGGCCCAGACUCCUACGGGAGGCAGCAGUGGGGAAUUUUGGACAAUGGGCGAAACCCUGAUCCAGCCAUCCCGCGUGUAUGAGAAGGCCUUCGGGUUGUAAAGUACUUUUGGCAGGGAAGCGGUAUCUGCAGAAUAAGCACCGGCUAACUACGUGCCAGCCGCCGCGGUAAUUC
rnacentral:rRNA from 1 species